GAAGUUGUUUUCCAGAAUUGCAAAGGGCAGGUGGAUCAGUGGGUUGAACCAUAUCUGCGUCUCACUGUUGACCGGUUACAACGGGCUGAGACUUCGUAUGUUAAAU
rnacentral:sRNA from 1 species